rnacentral:lncRNA from 1 species
AUUAACAGGCCCUGACAUGAACAUCAUGCUUCCUGUCAAGCUGUCAGCUAACGGCACAUGCCACCGUGGGUUUACUCAAUGAGACCUUGCUAAGUGCUGCAAGCACUCUCAGGACUAGGUGGUCCAGUCACUGAAGAGUUACUGUUCUGAUAAUUAAAAACUUGAGUCUGAUCAUAAAAGGACUAAGAACAGCCAUGAAAUAGUUUUUCUCUUCCUCCCAGACAGGAAAAAGGCUACAUGCAUAUUUCAAAAUACAAUAUCCCUGUAUAAAAAUCUAAAAAUAAAACCCAGUCUGAUAAUUCUUAAAUCUUUGCCACUAAAAUUGGGAACACUGGAAAACAAAGCAAGUACAUAAAAAGCAAAGAGAGUUGAGCCAAUGGUUUGGAGGAUGUAAACACAAGAAAAGCUCAAAUGAAAGGAUUACUGGGUCCUUUUAAAAGAAAAAUGCAAACUGGUGUGAGAGAGAGAACAAAGCACAGACUAUAAACUUUCUAAGCAACUAAAAGCAAAACCCAGUCACUGAAACAGUUGAUGGUGCUCCUGGAACUGUGUGAAGUCAAAUCUGCUGUAGUCUUUCAGCUACAGAAGGACCUUCACACCCAGCCUUAAAUUCUUCCCAGGAUCCUGAGAUCAGGAGCCCAUUGCUACUCACUUUCCAAAUAAAGCUAACAUUUCUGAGGGUUGUCAGAGAAACUGGAAGAGAUCACUGGUAAAUACGGGCUGUCAUGUAAACAAGUGCUUCUUAUAUUAAAAACUUGUUUUCAUACCUUUCUUCAGGAAUCCCAGUUAGUAAUGUUAAAAGCAAAUUUUAAUAACAGUUCUCAAAGAAGCCUGUCAGAAGUUUUUCUGGACCAUUACACCAACAAGUUGUAAGGAAGAUUAUUU